GCCAGGCAUGGUGGGGUGCGCCUGUAGUCCCAGCUACUCAGGAGGCUGAGGUGGGGGGAUUGCUUGAGUCCAGGAGUUCUGGGCUGCAGUGUGCUAUGCUGAUCGGGUGUCCGCACUAAGUUUGGCAUCAAUAUGGUGACCUCCUGGGAGUGGGGGACCACCAGCUUGCCUAAGGUGGGGUGAACCAGCCCAGGUCGGAAACAAAGUAGGUCAAAACUGAUCAAAAUGUUGAUCAGUGCUGAUCAAAAUGUUGCUUUACAUUUUGCCUUACAUAGCAAUGAAAAGCUACAUUGAU
rfam:Cavia porcellus supercont2_8 genomic scaffold, whole genome shotgun sequence.